rnacentral:rRNA from 1 species
CAGUCGCCGCGGUAAUACGGAGGGUGCAAGCGUUAAUCGGAAUUACUGGGCGUAAAGCGUGCGUAGGCGGCUUCUUAAGUCGGAUGUGAAAUCCCUGAGCUUAACUUAGGAAUUGCAUUCGAUACUGGGAAGCUAGAGUAUGGGAGAGGAUGGUAGAAUUCCAGGUGUAGCGGUGAAAUGCGUAGAGAUCUGGAGGAAUACCGAUGGCGAAGGCAGCCAUCUGGCCUAAUACUGACGCUGAGGUACGAAAGCAUGGGGAGCAAACAGGAUUAGAUACCCCAGUAGUCCCUGUCUCUUAUAC